rnacentral:lncRNA from 1 species
AAGAGAUUACAGCUUAUGGAUGUGACAUCAGGGUUAGCUUUUCUGAGUCCCAACAUGUCAGAAUCUCAACUCCAGGGAAUCUCAAGAGACUGAAACCCCAUGGUGCAGUUUUUAUGGUUCAGAACCAUUCUCCUCUGUUCCCUUUCUUGACAUUUGACCCAUUUCGAAAGAAAGGAGUAGAAGGUUUCUCUGAGGCUUUGAACAUGAAAUUCUCCCACACUCUAGCCAAAUACUUUGCCAAGAGAGCUGACAUAAAAGUGGUUAUGAAGGGAGUGAUGACAGUUUAAACUUCUGAUGAUUUCAUCCUAAAGCAUUUAAGUGUGGAGCAGGUAUUUCAGCUGGGUUAAUUUAGGUGGACAUUCCAAUGCUGGCCCUUUCUACCUAUGUCUUCCUCUUGCUCAUUGCAGUCAGCAAGCCUGCUCUUCUCUUGGAUUCUGGCCAUGCUACAUUGUUGUCACUCUGCAGUAGAGGUUGAAUUGCAAGAAGGAAGAUUUAGGGAUGUAGCAAGAAUUUUUUCCUGUUACAUGGGAAAUCGCAAGUGACAAGAAGGAGUUUGUUUGAUAAGACUAUCUAGAUUUUAUCUUGGAAAUGACUCAGAGAAACUAAUCCUGAUUGGAUACAUCUGGCAAAAGAAUGCUUAUCUCCACAUCACUUUUCUGGCCUUGGGGCUCAGAAUAAGAAUAAUACCCUUCUUAUAUAUAGCACCUUUUAAACAAAGACUUAAAACAUCUGAUGGUUCUGCCCCAAGUAUAACUAUUCCAAUUUUUUCUGAUGGUGGAAGAAUAGAGAAGUUAUCUAAACACCAAUUCUACAAUAAGUUAGUGAAGCAAUUCAGGAUUUUCUUUUUCCUAAGCCUCAGUUGGACUCUUGUAUUAAUUGAAAAUGAAGAUAAGAUCUCUUUGCUAACCAGCUGCUGCUCUCUGCUGCCAUCUGCUGCUAACCAACUGCAAAAUAGCUCCUUCCUUUGGUAAGGGGAGGAGUCUAGCUUUUCAGCUUGAUAAUAGGAGGUUAUCUUUAGCUCUUUUGUGAUGCAAACCCCAGCCAGUAACUCCCAUCCAAUUAUCUAAAGAAAAUCUUAGGAAUUUUUUAAGUUGGUCUUUUGAAAUUUUUUUUUUAUUGAGUACUACCCAUUUGGGUCCCCCAUUCUAAACUUUAAGAUAAUAUGUGAAAAAAAAAGUUCAAUUUCUGUUUUAUCCAUGAGUCCCU